rnacentral:antisense_RNA from 1 species
UGUAGGAGCGAGCCUGCUCGCGAAAGCGUUGGGUCAGUCGGUUCAAAUGCCCCUGACACACCGCAUUCGCGAGCAGGCUCGCUCCCACA